UACGUAGGGGGCGAGCGUUGUCCGGAAUGAUUGGGCGUAAAGGGCGCGUAGGCGGUCAUUUAAGUCUGGAGUGAAAGUCCUGGUUUUAAGUUGGGAAUUGCUUUGGAUACUGAAUGACCUGAGUGCAGGAGAGGUAAGUGGAAUUCCCAGUGUAGCGGUGAAAUGCGUAGAGAUUGGGGGGAACACCAGUGGCGAAGGCGACUUACUGGACUGUAACUGACGCUGAGGCACGAAAGUGUGGGGAUCAAAC
rnacentral:rRNA from 1 species